rnacentral:lncRNA from 1 species
ACACAUCUAACCACUCUUCAGCUGAUAUCCACUUGCUGACAAAUGAAUCUCUCUGGCCCCUGGACUGUGCCCUGAAACACAGCUUAAAACAAUACUCAGAGAGUGAGAGCCUUCAGAUUUGGGUGAGUGAUGCCAUUAGAACCAAGAUUUCUUCCAUUCUUCUGCUCUAUCAUUCUCAGCACAACAUGCUUUUCUCAUUAAGGCCGCUGUGGUUCGUCUUCUGCCUGGGAACUGGAUAAAAACAUCAGUGAAUACCCCAAAGAUUUUCAAAAAUGCUUGUUGAUAAAAUGAAGUCAGAAUGUGAGAUGAGCCCUUCCACCUGAGUGAUGUUGGUCUUGGCUGUGUGAUUUGCUUUGGCUGAUGAUAAGUUGAUGGAAGUGAUAGUAAGACAAUGCUGAGCCUCAUCCUCGGAAGUAUCUCUGCCUUCACCUGGCUUUGUGCACCACUGCCCUGGCUUUGAGAAGAACAUGAGCCCAGUAAAUUGUUAGUCCAGGAAGAAUGAGAGAGAAAGUCCUGAGGCAGAGAAGUGGAGAGAAGUUGCUGCUUGAGCUUGAGAAAGAAUGGUGGCAGAGUACAUGCAUGGAAGUGCUACCAUAGCUGCUCUGAAAUCAGAGGAAAGUGGAAUUAUAAGAAGACCCCAUCUGACAAGGCUCAUAAAGGAGAGCAACUCUUAUGGAAUACAUCCAAGAUAUAUACGUCUUUGAAGAAAGACAUCACUCAACUGUGAAAGAUCACCAUGACCCCUGCUUUAAUUUCAUCAAAAAACUUAGUCCAUCAGCUCAGUUACCCUUUAGCCUUGCAUGGGAAUUGACUCAGAGCUUCUGCAAGAUCAGGCCCUAUAUUAGGUAUUGAGGGUUCAGGGAUGAACUAAGCUGAUCUGGUUCCUGCUCUCUAGGCUGUAGAAGAUGGCAAGUGCUGUGGACUUCAAAGAAAAGAUUUCUGAAGUGUCAUGUUAUGACAAUUGUGAUGCUUCAAACUAUGUUGACUAUUCAUUUACAGCAUAAAGAAGAGUGAGCCACUUUAUCACUGCAGUAAUUAUAUUUUAAAAAUAAAGAAAAUAAAACAAAUGGAGUUUCCCACCCAAUCCAUGGAGACACAGACACGAAGUCUUACUAUAGAUGUGUGGCCAAUCCUUACAUUGCUUUUAUUACAAGCCUGGAAAUGACAAUAAAAUACAUGAACUUGAGAGUAUAUA